rnacentral:rRNA from 1 species
CGCGGUAAUUCCAGCUCCAAUAGCGUAUAUUAACGUUGUUGCAGUUAAAAAGCUCGUAGUUGAAAUGAAGGGUAGUUGUGUAAUGAAUACAUUCGUGUAUUUUGUUAUUCUACUACCCUCCUUCUAAAUUCGAUAUAUGAGUAUUAAUUUACUUGUAUAUGGUUUUAGACCUUUACUGUGAGAAAAUUAGAGUGUUCAAAGCAGGCAUUUGCUUGAAUAUAUUAGCAUGGAAUAAUCAUGUAUGAUUUUCAUGAUGUAUUUGAUUGGUUUGGUUCAUGAGAAUAAGAUUAAAAGGGACAGUUGGGGGUAUUCAUAUUCAAUAGUCAGAGGUGAAAUUCUCGGAUUUAUGGAAGAUGAACAAGUGCGAAAGCAA